rnacentral:rRNA from 1 species
AGCCACAGCCAUAUCACCCUGCAGCCCAAGAACAGUUACUCACUGAAGCUAAGCAGGUCUAAACCUGGUCAGUACCUAGAUGGGAGACCAAAUGGGAAAACUUGGUUGCUGUUGGAA